rnacentral:rRNA from 1 species
AGACCUACCAUUUUAGCGGCUACACCAAAAGGAAAAUAUAAGUCAACAUCGAGGUCGCAAUCUUUUUUUUUAAUAAGAACUCACAAAAAAAAUUACGCUGUUAUCCCUUUGGUAGCUUGUUCUAUUAAUCAAAAUUAUUGGAUCAAAAUUUAUAAAGGAAGAUCUUUUUUUCCUUAGUCGCCCCAACUAAAUUAAAAAUAAUUAAAAAAAAAAUUAAUUAAUUAAGCUCAAAAGGGUCUUCUUGUCCCAUUUUUAAAUUUUAGCUUCUUCACUAAAUAAGCAAUUUCUUUUUAUAUUUUUAAUAAAGCAAAAAUCUUGUUUUUUCUUUCAUCAGCCCCCAAUUAUGAAGCAAAUGAUUAUGCUACCUUUGCACAGUCAAAUUACUGCG